GCAGUACCUGCCCACAAAGGCCCACGGAGCCAUGGCUUCUUCCCAGUGGUGAUCCCUGAUGGGCUGGAAGGUGACCGAACCGCUUGUCCUUUAUAAGCUGGGCUUGCUGCUUGCCGUUGAGGAAGAGCUUGUCAUGGGUGUCAGCGUUUAAAAGUGGAAUUUCCUGAGGCUGGAAGUCCAGAAGUCGGGGUGCUGGCAGGACGUGCUCUUCUGAAGCCUCCAGGGCAGGGCCAGCCGCAUGCCCGUCUCCUCGCUUGGGCACCUGCCAGCGGUCCCCGGCGGUCCCCGGCUCAUUGCUGCAUGGCUCCAACGUCCGCCUCUCCCACCAUGUGGCCUCCUCCUGGUGUCUCUGUGUCCAAAUCUCCCGCUCUGUCUAAGGAUAACAGUCACUGGUCAUGGGACCCAUCCUAAUCCAGGGUGACCUCGUAUUAACCUCAUCACAUCUGCAAAGACUAUUUCCAAGUCAAGCCACACUCCCAGCUGCUGGGGGCGGGACUUGAACAUAUUUUUU
rnacentral:lncRNA from 1 species